ACUUACGGCCAUACCAGCCUGAAUACGCCUGAUCUCGUCUGAUCUCGGAAGCUAUGCAGGGUCAGGCCUGGUUAGUACUUGGGUGGGAGACCGCCUGGGAAUACCAGGUGCUGUAAGUU
rnacentral:rRNA from 1 species